UCUUGAGUUUUGAAUAGAAACUAAUCAUCAUAUCGUUUAAUACAGGAUAUCUAAUCGAAUAAUUUUUCUGCAGUAACAAGAAAUUACAGCAACAGUGUUUCCAACAGACAGAUGAACUACACAAUUUUCCGAACGUAUGUCGAUUAGUUUUCUGACGUAAAUCCAGGUCUUCAUUGUUUUCGUGAUUACAAUGUUAAAGUUGUGAGUGCCUGCAGUUGUGAAAGUGGUUGAAACAUCUAGAACAGCGUGGAAAAACAUUCGUUCCCAAUGAAAACGUCCAGCGCUCUAAUUAGUACCCGCCUUUCAAUAUAUCAGGAUGGAGCACCACUGCACUGGCACCAUCUUGUAAGAGUAUUUCAUCGUCCUACAUGCUUCCCCUUCCAACAUCUUUGGGUGAACUACGACGCCACAUAGCAGAAUCAGUGAAUGCAGUAAAUCUAGACAUAUACAUAAAGUAAAGAAUUUGUUUAUCAGCUGGAUGCUUUUCAUGCAUCAGGUGGAGGGCACACUGGAAUUUAUGAAAACUGCUGAUGUGAGAGGGAUGGAAAAUGUUUCUAAAAGAAGAAUAUGGGAGUUAUUGCUGGGAUCUGCACACCAUUUUACACAUAACUUUAUUUGCCAUGGCAGUAAUUAAGGUGUUUACAAUGAGAAUGUUCAAGAAAGAAUUUUAAAUUCACCUUCUACAAUUUUUAAUGAUACAACAGUAUCAAACAGUUAACAGUAAAUUCCUUGCCUUUUCUCUUAGUAACAUGUUUCCGUGUCAACUUUCUCUAUAAAUAAUUUAAAUAUAGAAUUAGACCUUGUGUGCUUGUUACCUUUGUGAAAUCACAAUUAUGUGUGUGGCAUUUGUUCUUUCUAACAUGUCGAAAAGAAUAGACACUACAAAUAUAAUGGUACUAUAUAUAACUUGAUGAUAUCUUCAGUGUGGAUGUGCCUUAGAAUUGACCUUUUAAAGGAAUCGUGCAAGAUGCUAUGAGCAAUGAGGAUUGUGGACAAAGGGCACUACGAAGUAGUGUGAAGUUGAGAAUAUGGGUUGGACGGGAAGCAUUGUCAGAUAGCCAAAGUGGGUCAGGUGACUGCUUGCAUAAAGCAGGAAAUCUAACUUCAACCCUGGUCCGGCACAAAUUUGCACUCAAUUAUUUCAAUGUCCUCGUCUGGCUGACAUCAGUAUUUCUCUUUCAUCAUGUAA